AGUACAGGCCGGACUGGGACCAACAUCCUGAUCGACACGGUUCUGAACCGCAUGGCCAAAGGUGAGAUGAUCAACAUCACUGCAAAGUUGGAACAUGUUCCUGACCAGCGUCCUGGGAUGGUUCGAACUAAGGACCAGUUUGAGUUUGCGUUGACCACUGUCACUGAGGAGGUCAACACCGUCCUCAAAGCCCUGCCGCAGUGAAACAGCACCCGCCUCUGACUCCGCCCCCAUCUCAGUCUCCGCCUCCUGAAUUCCACAUCUGUGUCUCCUUCCACUGCCUUUUUCUGUACAGUGAUGAUGAUGAUGAUGAUGAUGAUGAGUGGCGUUGUGCUUCUGUUGACACACUGACGCCCCAAC